GAUCGUGUGGCCUAAUGGAUAAGGCGUCGGACUUCUAAAUAAGAAAAAAAAAGGCAUCCGAAAAUUGCGGGUUCGACUCCCGCCACGAUUA
rnacentral:tRNA from 1 species